rnacentral:tRNA from 1 species
AAGACUUUAUCUUAAUAAAAGUAUUUGAUUUGCAUUCAAAAGAUGAGGGUUAAUCAUUCUCAAGUCUUA